GACGAACGCUGGCGGCGUGCUUAACACAUGCAAGUCGAACGGUGAAGCGCCUUCCUUUUUGGUGGGUGUGGAUGAGUGGCGAACGGGUGAGUAACACGUGAGUAACCUGCCCCCUUCUUCUGGAUAACCGCAUGAAAGUGUGGCUAAUACGGGAUAUUCUGGGUCUGUCGCAUGAUGGGUCUGGGAAAGAUAUUGUUUCGGUGGGGGAUGGGCUCGCGGCCUAUCAGCUUGUUGGUGGGGUGAUGGCCUACCAAGGCGGUGACGGGUAGCCGGCCUGGGAGGGUGGACGGUCACACUGGGACUGAGACACGGCCGAGACUCCGACGGGAGGCAGCAGUGGGGAAUAGUGCACAAUGGGCGCAAGCGUGAUGCAGCGACGCCGCGUGAGGGAUGGAGGCCUGCGGGUUGUGAACCUCUUUCGCCAGUGAAGCAGGCCUGCCUCGUUUGUGGGUGGGUUGACGGUAGCUGGAUAAGAAGCGCCGGCUAACUACGUG
rnacentral:rRNA from 1 species